rnacentral:rRNA from 1 species
CAGCCGCCGCGGUAAUACGUAGGGGGCAAGCGUUGUCCGGAAUUAUUGGGCGUAAAGCGCGCGCAGGCGGUCGGGUAAGUCUGAUGUUAAAGCCCGGGGCUCAACCCCGGUUCGCAUUGGAAACUGCUCGACUUGAGUGCAGAAGAGGAAAGCGGAAUUCCACGUGUAGCGGUGAAAUGCGUAGAGAUGUGGAGGAACACCAGUGGCGAAGGCGGCUUUCUGGUCUGUAACUGACGCUGAGGCGCGAAAGCGUGGGGAGCAAACAGGAUUAGAUACCCUGGUAGUCCACGCCGUAAACGAUGAGUGCUAGGUGUUGGGGGUGUCAACACCCUCAGUGCCGCAGCUAACGCAAUAAGCACUCCGCCUGGGGAGUACGCUCGCAAGAGUGAAACUUAAAGGAAUUGGCGGG